rnacentral:rRNA from 1 species
GUGGCUUAAUUUGACUCAACGCGGGAAAUCUUACCGGGUCCGGACACACUGAGGAUUGACAGGCAAUAUAUGUGACUCUUCGGAGUUUGCAUUGUUAAAUAUGCUAGUCCUUUCAUGAUUAUGUGAUAGGUGGUGCAUGGCCGUUCUUAGUUCGUGGAGUGAUCUGUCUGCUUAAUUGCGUUUCAAAUUACUUAUAAGGUAGCAAUACGCGAUGAAGCUUUCAAUAGUCCUCACGGAUUCACUUGAGUCUCUCGCUUCGCUAUCCUUUCGAAUGCAACGAACGUGACCGCAACCUCUUGUUGCCUUCGUUUAACAUCCUGCAGCUCGCUGUGGGUACUGAGGGCUUCACUCGGUGACUUUGGGCUGAGCAAUCGGUCU